rnacentral:rRNA from 1 species
UACGAAGGGGGCUAGCGUUGCUCGGAAUGACUGGGCGUAAAGGGCGCGUAGGCGGUUUAGACAGUCAGAUGUGAAAUUCCCGGGCUUAACCUGGGGGCUGCAUUUGAUACGUCUAGGCUUGAGUGAGGAAGAGGGUUGUGGAAUUCCCAGUGUAGAGGUGAAAUUCGUAGAUAUUCGGAAGAACACCCGUGGCGAAGGCGGCUCACUGGUCCGGUACUGACGCUGAGGUGCGAAAGCGUGGGGAGCAAACAGG